rnacentral:rRNA from 1 species
UACAGAGGUCUCAAGCGUUGUUCGGAUUCAUUGGGCGUAAAGGGUGCGUAGGCGGCGCGGUAAGUCGGGUGUGAAAUCUCGGAGCUUAACUCCGAAGCUGCAUUCGAUACUGCCGUGCUUGAGGACUGGAGAGGAGACUGGAAUUUACGGUGUAGCGGUGAAAUGCGUAGAUAUGUGGAGGAAUACCUAUGGCGAAGGCAGCCCC